rnacentral:rRNA from 1 species
AGCAGCCGCGGUAAUUCCAGCUCCAAUAGCGUAUAUUAAAGUUGCUGCAGUUAAAAAGCUCGUAGUUGAAUUUCGGGACCAUCAUGUCGGUCGUGCCUCGGUACGUACUGGCAUUGUUGGUUUCUCCCUUCUGAAGAACCUUGAUGUCAUUAAUUUGGUGUCUUGGGGAAUCAGGACUGUUACUUUGAAAAAAAUUAGAGUGUUUAAAGCAGGCUCGCGCUUGAAUACAUUAGCAUGGAAUAAUGAAAUAGGACGUUUGAUUCUAUUUUGUUGGUUUCUAGGAUCGACGUAAUGAUUAAUAGGGAUAGUUGGGGGCAUUAGUAUUCAAUUGUCAGAGGUGAAAUUCUUGGAUUUAUUGAAGACUAACUACUGCGAAAGCAUUUGCCAAGGAUGUUUUCAUUAAUCAAGAACGAAAGUUAGGGGAUCGAAGACGAUCAGAUACCGUCGUAGUCUUAACCAUAAACUAUGCCGACUAGGGAUCGGAUGAUGUUAAUUUUUUAAUGACUCAUUCGGCGCCG